AACGAACGCUGGCGGCAUGCCUAACACAUGCAAGUCGAACGAGACCUUCGGGUCUAGUGGCGCACGGGUGCGUAACGCGUGGGAACCUGCCCUUAGGUUCGGAAUAACUCCCCGAAAGGGGUGCUAAUACCGGAUAAUGUCUUCGGACCAAAGAUUUAUCGCCUUUGGAUGGGCCCGCGUUGGAUUAGCUAGUUGGUAGGGUAAAAGCCUACCAAGGCGACGAUCCAUAGCUGGUCUGAGAGGAUGAUCAGCCACACUGGGACUGAGACACGGCCCAGACUCCUACGGGAGGCAGCAGUGGGGAAUAUUGGACAAUGGGCGAAAGCCUGAUCCGGCAAUGCCGCGUGAGUGAUGAAGGCCUUAGGGUUGUAAAGCUCUUUUACCCGGGAUGAUAAUGACAGUACCGGGAGAAUAGGCUCCGGCUAACUCCGUG
rnacentral:rRNA from 1 species